rnacentral:rRNA from 1 species
GAUGAACGCUAGCGGCAGGCUUAACACUUGCAAGUCGAGGGGUAUUUAUCUUCGGAUAGAGAGACCGGCGCACGGGUGCGUAACGCGUAUGCAAUCUACCUUUCACAGAGGGAUAGCCCAGAGAAAUUUGGAUUAAUACCUCAUAGUAUAGCGACCUGGCAUCAGGAUGUUAUUAAAGUCACAACGGUGAAAGAUGAGCA